AUUGAACGCUGGCGGCAGGCUUAACACAUGCAAGUCGAACGAGUGGCGGACGGGUGAGUAAUGCUUGGGAAUCUGGCUAAUGGAGGGGGAUAACGACGGGAAACUGUCGCUAAUACCGCGUACCAUAGGAUGAGCCCAGAUGGGAUUAGCUAGUGGGUGGGGUAACGGCUCACCUAGGCGACGAUCCCUAGCUGGUCUGAGAGGAUGACCAGCAACACUGGGACUGAGACACGGCCCAGACUCCUACGGGAGGCAGCAGUGGGGAAUAUUGCACAAUGGGCGAAAGCCUGAUGCAGCCAUGCCGCGUGUGUGAAGAAGGCCUUCGGGUUGUAAAGUACUUUCGGCGGGGAAGCGUUACCCGCAGAAGAAGCACCGGCUAACUACGUGCCAGCCGCCGCGGUAAUAC
rnacentral:rRNA from 1 species